rnacentral:rRNA from 1 species
CAGCCGCCGCGGUAAUACGUAGGGUGCGAGCGUUAAUCGGAAUUACUGGGCGUAAAGCGUGCGCAGGCGGUUGUGUAAGACAGGUGUGAAAUCCCCGGGCUCAACCUGGGAAUGGCAAUGGAUACUGGCAAGCUAGAGUGUGUCAGAGGAUGGUGGAAUUCCCGGUGUAGCGGUGAAAUGCGUAGAGAUCGGGAGGAACAUCAGUGGCGAAGGCGGCCAUCUGGGACAACACUGACGCUGAGGCACGAAAGCGUGGGGAGCAAACAGGAUUAGAUACCCCCGUAGUCCCUGUCUCUUAUAA